AGGAAAAGUGGCGGAGUAUUUUUUCCAGAGUUAAUAUUUUUUUCCUCCAAAAGAGUUGUUUUUGCUCCGUUUUGAGUAAACAAAGUAAAAUGUGUCAGUAGAGUGGGAGCAAAAUUACAGAGUAACUGUAACAGAGUUAAAUGUUUCCCUCCUAAUUUCCGUGUAUCUGCCAUUGCUGUAUAUAAUGUUAAAAGACUAACAAUAAAUAUUAAUGACACGCCUGCAUAUAUUUCUAUUGUGAAAAUAAAUAAACAACAUCUCAAAAAAUAUCAUUUAGUAACUAAUUUGAAUCAAACUAAUUAGAAAAACGAACACCUAAAAGUACAUAAACAUAAUAAAAAACUAAAGUAACUGAAACCAUCUUUGGGGGAAAUAUCUGCAAUUAGAUUUUUAAGUUUGGUUCACGUAGCAUUUGCUUACAUAGAGUUUGCGGGCUUUAUGACCUACACGGCACCCAGCCACCAGAGGGCGAUAGAAAUAUUGGCUUCACUCACCGUGACUCCCUUUGGUAACGGUCAUAUCGAUCACUGCUGGUUAAGAAGACAAGCUGCUUUUCUGCUGGAUGGUGAAGUAAGUGAAUUUUUUAAAUCUUAGUUUUAAUUUCCAGAAUAUUCGCCUCUGUUUUGAUCUUAGUCAUUUUGCCACGUUUUUUAAUAUUACAGAGAUAACUUUCUCACGUGAGAACUAAAUUAGUCCAUUAUUUACAGGUUAUAUAAGUUAAUUACAGGCAUAAAAGUUAUCUGGAAAGCACAUAACUAACAUACUGAUUACGAAUGUUAACUGACACGGGUGAGACUUGCUUACUGCCUAUGAAAUGUUUGUAACUUAACAUUUUGGCGGGCGUUUUGAGUUUUACCUCAUGUAUUUGACUCGGUAAAGAGUUAAGUUCGCUUUAGUCAGUUUGGUUUGCAUUAUCCCUUUCGGACGAUAACGUAAGCUGUUUCUCUUGAAACUUAAAGUAUGAUGUUUAACUUUGUGUUUCUGGUUGCUUCAGAAUGCAAACCAACAGCGUUGUCAAAGUAAAGUGAAGUUUAAUUGACAAGCGUCUGGAGUUGUGCACCACAUGUACGUGACUCGGAUUCAAACCAACAACGUUGUCAGAGUAAAGUUCAAAGACAGCAAGAAAUAUAUUUUCUCUUCACAACCAUUUACAUUUCACACAUUUUUGGAAUGUGUUGCCAAGAAGUUUAAUCUUCCUACAAUGAAUGUCUUUGAUGACUCAAAGACAGAGGUUGAUGAGGAAUAAUAUCUGCUGACACGACCAGACUUUGGUGUCCUAGAAAUCUUCAUCCCAGAAAGCACAACAAGCAUUGAUGGGCACGUCAGACUCUGAUGGGACCGCAGUGUUGAUUAGAAAUCCUCCUGAAAAAAAUCUAGCCAAGAAACGUCAUCUAGUCCAGAUCGAAAAUAUCCUAAACAGCAUCCCUGGAGGCGAUAAGGUGACAUGGUGAAAAUCUUGGUAGCACAUUUAACAAAGGAACAUGGAUCCUCCCCUUACUGAAGUUUGAAGGAAGAAUAUGCAAAGGGUAUUAUCUCCAUAUUCCCAUGCUUUGCUGACCCCAGGAGCAAGCUUGGUUAUGAGCAUUAUUACAAUGCAGAAGAUGGAAGUGGAUAUUUGACGUGGAGAAUUAAAACUCAAGCAUCAGAGGGACAGAUAAAAUGCCCACGGCAACCACAAACAGGUGCAUGACUUGCAGAUUGAUUUGCAGAUUUUGGACUUCUAUUUGGUGAGGCGACCACUGCAAAGUUGUUGGAGAAGUGGUUUACCAACAUAAAACCAAAGGUUAUUGCACAGACCCGUGGCCUCAAACAGACUUGUAAGGUCCAAGACCUAAUCCAAAAUGCUGAAGUUGAAGAUGGUAACUAUUAUGCUAUACAUACAUGUGCUAUACAAGUUAUGAAUUCAUGAAGAAUGGCUUUAGAACCAUAGUUUCAAUUGUAUUAUUUAUUGUAUUAUAUUUACAACAUAUAAUCCAUGCUUUUGUUAUUUAGAGUCCCAAAUGAAAACUAUUUUAAACUGUAAAUCUACAACUCGCAUACUAGGCCCUUGUGAAAACCCAUCUGAAAGCGCUCUAUUUUUACACACUAAUUUUGUACUUUAUAUACAAAAAAUUCUUCUUUUGUACUUCUUGAGAUAAUCUUAAGAACAUCUAAGUAUACUUGUCUGUACUUUUUUAAGACACCAUGAAUAUGAACUGAAAUAUGCUUAAAAUAUAUUUAAAAAAAAUGUAUUUAGGUACCGCUUGUAGUAAACUUAAACCCAUCUUUCAUACAAACAAGUGGUAAAUAAAUAAAUUUUUUAAAUAUAUUUUAAGCACAUUUUAGUUUAUAUUCAUGGCGUCUCAAUAUAGCACAAUAAUUUUUAAGUUUAUUAAGUACAAAAUUAAUGUGCGAAAAGAGAGCAGUACAUUAUUGAAGUGUACUUCUUUUUCAGCUGGGUUUUCACAAGGGCCUAGUACGUGAGUUGCAGAUUUACACUUUUAAAUUGUUUUAAUUUGGGACUCUAAUAACAAACGCAUGGUUUACAUAUUGUAAAUAACGUUUAAAGGGGACAUAUUAUGAAAAUCUGACUUUUUCCUUGUUUAAGUGCUAUAAUUGGGUCCCCAGUGCUUCUAUCAACAGAGAAAAUGUGAAAAAGAUUAACCCAGUAACUUAGUUUUGAUAAACCAUUCUCUGCAAGUAUGUGAAAAAAUAGCUCAUUGAAAUGUGGCUCCCCUUGUGAUGUAAGAAGGGGAUCUUACUAUAAUUAUACUACCUCUUAAUCUGCACUAUUCAACCACUGCCAUUUAGUGCAGCUCAUUUGCAUUUAAAAGGAUACACCCAAAAUCAACACAUAUUUGCUCACACCUACAAAGUGUCAAUUUUAACAUGUUAUAAUAAAUUGUCUAUAUGGUAUUUAAAGUCUUGUGAAAUGUCUCCUUUAACUGUAUUUCCUCAUUUCAGUAUUUGUAGUAGUUUGUUUCUGCUUUGUUUAUUGUACCAUAUUAUUUCAUGUAAUUCUUUAUCUCCUCUGUUGUAUUAUCACUAUUUAUAUUAUUUUAGUGUUGUUGUCAUGAAUUGUAAAAAUGCUGUUUAAAAGAUGAGCUUGACAAAUAAAAUGUAUAAUAGAUGCUGUUAUAGCAAGAGAAUAAAAUUUUACUGAAAUUACAGUUUUGUUUCAGACUGAUGUUUUUCAUUUUCGAGCUGUUUGAUGGUGAAACGUGAAUUUUGUAAUUCAGAAGAAUAACUCUGGACAGAGUUGGUUAUUUUUUGUAGUUCACUCAUAAUUGAUGAAAAACAACUCAGGAGGGGAAGUAAAUUGUGGCAGAGUAAAUCUGAAAUUCCUCUAAAUAGAGUUAAAUUGUAACAGAGUCAAUUUCUUUUAGCUCUGAACCGAGUAAAAUGGUACUAGAGUUGUUUUUAAAAAACACUACAUAGAGUCAAAUAUUACAUGACAGAGUAAAAUAUUAACACUACAUUGAGCAUAAUUAACUCUAAAAAAACAACUCUAUCAAAAGAGUAACUUUUACUCUUUUUAGAGAGGGACCAAAUGUUAUCUGGUAUAGAGUAAAAUUUUCUUCAAAUUGAGUAAAUUUUACUCUGGCAAAUUUAC